CCGGCGGACGGGUGAGUAACACGUAUCCAACCUGCCGUCUACUCUUGGACAGCCUUCUGAAAGGAAGAUUAAUACAAGAUGGCAUCAUGAGUCCGCAUGUUCACAUGAUUAAAGGUAUUCCGGUAGACGAUGGGGAUGCGUUCCAUUAGAUAGUAGGCGGGGUAACGGCCCACCUAGUCUUCGAUGGAUAGGGGUUCUGAGAGGAAGGUCCCCCACAUUGGAACUGAGACACGGUCCAA
rnacentral:rRNA from 1 species